AUGAUAACUCCGCCUGUGCCAUAUUGAAACCUGAGAGUAUAUAUCCUUUUCGGCACUGCCGGUCCCAAGCCCGGAUAAAGGAGGAGGGUCAU
rfam:Gossypium hirsutum cultivar TM-1 chromosome 15, whole genome shotgun sequence